UUUAUAUAAUAUAUAUAGUAUAUUUGACUUCCAAUCAAAAAGUUUAAUCAUAAUUUAAUAUAAAUA
rnacentral:tRNA from 1 species